GCAUGGAUCUCAAUUUACUACAUUUGAAGUGCAGUGCUUUCCCAUUUCCUAUGUAAAAGUUAUAUGGCUAUACUGCCCUUGUGGUUUUCCAUAAGGAAGAAUGCAGGAGCAGAAGUCUGUGUGGCAUUGUAUAGCAUGAAAGUGGAUUCAAGUGUGGAGGAAGGCACAGGCAAGUGAAGGAAGGGCAUAGAACUGGUUACACCAUUAUAACCAAUAGCCCCAAAGUCAUAGAGAGCAUUGGUACUCCGGUGCACUCAGGGAGCUAGUCGUAUGAGGAAGGUGCAAAGGUGGAUGUUACAUGUGAUGUAAUGCCCACGCCUACAAAAGGAUCAGGGCCAUGGUAUUUCAACUGUACUUUAUAUUUCCUCAUUCUGUUGACUGAAUAAAUAAUUGCAUAUGCAAUACUUAAAAUGGCUCUCUUCCAUUGUCUCCCAUUCUUUAUCCCAAGUGAAUAACAUCUGUGUGCCCAAGAAGUGGAGCCACAUCAAGCCAAGGUCAAGUCCCAGCAAGACAAGAGCAGAUGAAACAAAGAGGCAAUAUAGGCCCACAACCCUAAGACCACAGAGGCAACCAUCACAGGUCAAAUUUGCUACUGUACUGUAA
rnacentral:lncRNA from 1 species